rnacentral:rRNA from 1 species
UACGUAGGCAGCAAGCGUUGUUCGGAAUUACUGGGCGUAAAGAGUGUGUAGGCGGUGUUCUAAGUUUGUCGUGAAAUCUCCCGGCUUAACUGGGAGGGUGCGGCGAAAACUGGAAUGCUAGAGGAUGGGAGAGGUAAGCGGAAUUCCUGGUGUAGCGGUGAAAUGCGUAGAUAUCAGGAGGAACACCUGUGGUGCAGACAGCUUACUGGACCAUUUCUGACGCUGAGACACGAAAGCGUGGGUAGCAAACAGG